GAUGAACGCUGGCGGCGUGCCUAAUACAUGCAAGUCGAGCGAACAGAUGAGGAGCUUGCUCCUCUGACGUUAGCGGCGGACGGGUGAGUAACACGUGGAUAACCUACCUAUAAGACUGGGAUAACUUCGGGAAACCGGAGCUAAUACCGGAUAAUAUAUUCAACCGCAUGGUUCAAUAGUGAAAGACGGUUUUGCUGUCACUUAUAGAUGGAUCCGCGCCGCAUUAGCUAGUUGGUAAGGUAACGGCUUACCAAGGCGACGAUGCGUAGCCGACCUGAUAGGGUGUUCGGCAAAACUGGAACGGGGACACGGCCCAGACCCCAACGGGAGGCAGCGGUGGGGAAUCUGCAGCAAUGGGCGAAAGCCGGACGGAGCAACGCCGCGUGAGGGAUGAAGGUCUUCGGAUCGUAAAACGCUGUGAUGAGGGAAGAACAAAUGUGUAAGUAACUAUGCACGUCUUGACGGUACCUAAUCAGAAAGCCACGGCUAACUACGU
rnacentral:rRNA from 1 species